UCCUACGGGACGCAGCAGUGGGGAAUAUUGCACAAUGGGGGAAACCCUGAUGCAGCGACGCCGCGUGGGUGACGAAGUAUUUCGGUAUGUAAAGCCCUAUCAGCAGGGAAGAAGAUGACAGUACCUGACUAAGAAGCCCCGGCUAACUACGUGCCAGCAGCCGCGGUAAUACGUAGGGGGCAAGCGUUAUCCGGAUUUACUGGGUGUAAAGGGGGCGCAGACGGCAAUGCAAGCCAGGAGUGAAAGCCCGGGGCCAACCCCGGGAC
rnacentral:rRNA from 1 species